CUACGGGCGGCUCCAGUGGGGAAUAUUGGACAAUGGGGGAAACCCUGAUCCAGCAAUGCCGCGUGUGUGAAGAAGGCCUGCGGGUUGUAAAGCACUUUCGGUUGGGAGGACUGCUUCUAGCACUAAUAUUGUUGGAAGUUGACGUUACCUUCAGAAGAAGCACCGGCUAACUCCGUGCCAGCAGGCCGCGGUAAUACGGAGGGUGCAAGCGUUAAUCGGAAUUACUGGGCGUAAAGCGCGCGUAGGCGGCUAGAUUAGCCGGGUGUGAAAGCCCCGGGCUUAACCUGGGAACUGCAUCCGAUACUGUCUAGCUUGAGUACAGGAGAGGAGAGUGGAAUUCCACAUGUAGCGGUGAAAUGCGUAGAUAUGUGGAGGAACACCAAUGGCGAAGGCAGCUCUCUGGCCUGAUACUGACGCUGAGGUGCGAAAGCGUGGGGAGCAAACAGGAUUAGAUACCCUUGUAGUC
rnacentral:rRNA from 1 species